UUCUUCUUAAAAUUAGUCUCAGUUACUUACAAGUGGAUCCUACAUGCAAACUCAUGUGAUAAUUGACAUUUGAUUAUAAGAAGCCAAAACAUAUUGGAAAUAGGAUCACCCUUUCUUUCAUACUAAUAAGUGUCCCUUACUCCAGCAGC